rnacentral:rRNA from 1 species
UGGGGAAUAUUGGACAAUGGGCGCAAGCCUGAUCCAGCCAUGCCGCGUGAGUGAUGAAGGCCCUAGGGUUGUAAAGCUCUUUCACCGGUGAAGAUAAUGACGGUAACCGGAGAAGAAGCCCCCUAACUUCGUGCCAGCAGCCGCGGUAAUACGAAGGGGGCUAGCGUUGUUCGGAUUUACUGGGCGUAAAGCGCACGUAGGCGGACUUUUAAGUCAGGGGUGAAAUCCCGGGGCUCAACCCCGGAACUGCCUUUGAUACUGGAAGUCUUGAGUAUGGUAGAGGUGAGUGGAAUUCCGAGUGUAGAGGUGAAAUUCGUAGAUAUUCGGAGGAACACCAGUGGCGAAGGCGGCUCACUGGACCAUUACUGACGCUGAGGUGCGAAAGCGUGGGGAGCAAACAGG